rnacentral:rRNA from 1 species
AUGGCGGACGCCUGGGGCCGGGCCAAGCGCGCGCUCGCCACCAAGCUCUGCAUCCGCGUGCCGGACCGCCAGAGGGCCAUCGAGGACGCCCCGCCGCCGCCGCCGGGACGCGACGCGCAUCAUCCACCGUCGGCCGCGGCGCCGGGCCCUGCGACGGGGGAGGAGGAGAGGGCCAGGUCGCCGUCCGUGUCCUCGCGGCGGCUCUCCAGCUCCGGCAGCCGGGGCUCCAAGAGGGUAUGCGCCAUCUGCCUUGGCAGUAUGAGGACAGGGCACGGACAGGCCCUGUUUACUGCUGAAUGCUCCCAUAAGUUCCAUUUCCAUUGCAUCACUUCAAAUGUUAGGCAUGGCAACCAUAUCUGCCCAAUAUGCCGUGCCGACUGGAAAGAACUGCCCUUCCAGGGACCUCAACUUGCAGAUGCCACUCAUGGGAGAGCUAGAGUAAGCCCGGUAAAUUGGCCCCAAGACGACGGACACAUGGCUGUUAUCCGCAGGCUUUCCAACUCAUACAGUGGAAAUCUGCUGGAGCAAUUUCCUGUCUUCCGUACUCCUGAGGCAGACAUUUUCAAUGACGAUGAGCCAAUAGAUAUUCAGUCUGAAACUGUGGAGGAGAACAAUGCAGUUACUGGUUUGGUUGAAAUCAAGACAUAUUCAGAAGUGCAAGCCAUACAGCAAUCAGUGACCCAGAAGGUCUUUUCUAUCUUGAUCCAUCUCAAGGCUCCAAAGUCCUUGGAGUCCGUGAGCUCCCGUGCACCUCUUGACCUUGUGACCGUGCUUGAUGUCAGUGGCAGCAUGAAAGGGGCCAAACUUGCGCUUCUCAAGAAGGCAAUGGGCUUUGUCAUCCAGACGCUUGGACCCAAUGACCGGCUGUCUGUCAUUGCCUUCUCGUCUACGGCACGGAGGCUCUUUCCCCUUCGCCAAAUGAACGUCAACGGACGAAUGCAAGCCAUGCAGGCUGUGAACUCCCUUGUUGAUGGUGGCGGCACAAACAUUUCUGAUGGGCUAAAGAAGGGUGCUAAAGUCAUUGAGCACCGUCGGCUGAAGAAUUCUGUUUGCAGCAUCAUCCUUCUGUCAGAUGGUCAAGACACAUAUUCAGUACCAACCUUUGACGACGGGGUUCAGACAAACCACAGCAUGCUUGUUCCUCCCUCAAUCCUGCCUGGAACAGGUAAUCAUGUGCAAAUCCACACCUUUGGUUUCGGUGCAGAUCAUGACUCGGCUGCGAUGCAUGCUAUUGCUGAGACAUCUAGCGGCACAUUCUCAUUUAUUGAUGCUGAAGGCUCAAUACAGAACGGAUUUGCUCAGUGUAUUGGUGGCCUCCUCAGUGUUGUGGUCAAGGAGAUGCGGCUGGGCGUCGAGUGUGUAGACGAAGGCGUGGUACUUACCUCCAUCAAGUCAGGCGGCUAUGCAAGUGAAGUAGCCAUGGAUGGACGUAACGGGUCAGUCGAUAUCGGUGACCUGUAUGCAGAUGAAGAGAGGGGGUUUCUGAUCACCCUACAUGUCCCAGCUGCACAGGGGCAGCAGACUGUACUGAUCAAACCAAGCUGUACAUACCAAGAUGCAGUUACAACAGAGAGCAUUCAGGUACAGGGUGAAGAAGUGAGUGUUGAGCGUCCUGCAUACUCUGUGGACUGCAAAAUGUCUCCUGAGGUUGAGCGCGAGUGGCACCGUGUUCAAGCUAUGGAGGACAUGUCCGCUGCGCGGGCUGCAGCCGACGGAGGCGAUUUCUCCCAGGCCGUGUCGAUCCUCGAAGGCCGCACGAGGAUCCUGGAGUCACAGGCAGCACAAUCUUCAGACAGCCAAUGCCUGGCGCUGAUCACAGAGCUGAGGGAGAUGCAGGAGAGGGUGGAGAGCCGGCGGAGGUAUGACGAAUCAGGAAGGGCCUUCAUGCUGGCAGGCCUGAGCUCACACUCAUGGCAGAGAGCCACGGCACGCGGCGACUCGACGGAGCUCAACACCCAAAUUCACACCUACCAGACGCCGUCGAUGGUCGACAUGCUGCACCGCUCGCAGACUCUUGUGCCCGCCGUCGUUGAAAUGCUGAACCGCUCCCCGACCGUUGCUCCUUCACGCGGCUCCGGCAGGUCGGUGAGGUCGACAAAAUCUUUCUCCGAGCGGCUGGCGUGA